rnacentral:rRNA from 1 species
UGCUUGUUGGGGUUGUAGGACACUCUAUACGGAGUUACAAAGGACGACAUUAGACGAAUCAUCUGGAAAGAUGAAUCAAAGAAGGUAAUAAUCCUGUAGUCGAAAAUGUUGUCUCUCUUGAGUGGAUCCUGAGUACGACGGAGCACGUGAAAUUCCGUCGGAAUCUGGGAGGACCAUCUCCUAAGGCUAAAUACUCUCUAGUGACCGAUAGUGAACCAGUACCGUGAGGGAAAGGUGAAAAGCACCCCGGAAGGGGAGUGAAAUAGAACCUGAAACCGUGUGCUUACAAGUAGUCAGAGCCCGUUAAUGGGUGAUGGCGUGCCUUUUGUAGAAUGAACCGGCGAGUUACGAUUUGAUGCAAGGUUAAGCAGUAAAUGUGGAGCCGUAGCGAAAGCGAGUCUGAAUAGGGCGUUUAGUAUUUGGUCGUAGACCCGAAACCAGGUGAUCUACCCUUGGUCAGGUUGAAGUUCAGGUAACACUGAAUGGAGGACCGAACCGACUUACGUUGAAAAGUGAGCGGAUGAACUGAGGGUAGCGGAGAAAUUCCAAUCGAACCUGGAGAUAGCUGGUUCUCUCCGAAAUAGCUUUAGGGCUAGCCUCAAGUGAUGAUUAUUGGAGGUAGAGCACUGUUUGGACGAGGGGCCCCUCUCGGGUUACCGAAUUCAGACAAACUCCGAAUGCCAAUUAAUUUAACUUGGGAGUCAGAACAUGGGUGAUAAGGUCCGUGUUCGAAAGGGAAACAGCCCAGACCACCAGCUAAGGUCCCAAAAUAUAUGUUAAGUGGAAAAGGAUGUGGCGUUGCCCAGACAACUAGGAUGUUGGCUUAGAAGCAGCCAUCAUUUAAAGAGUGCGUAAUAGCUCACUAGUCGAGUGACACUGCGCCGAAAAUGUACCGGGGCUAAACAUAUUACCGAAGCUGUGGAUUGUCCUUUGGACAAUGGUAGGAGAGCGUUCUAAGGGCGUUGAAGCAUGAUCGUAAGGACAUGUGGAGCGCUUAGAAGUGAGAAUGCCGGUGUGAGUAGCGAAAGACGGGUGAGAAUCCCGUCCACCGAUUGACUAAGGUUUCCAGAGGAAGGCUCGUCCGCUCUGGGUUAGUCGGGUCCUAAGCUGAGGCCGACAGGCGUAGGCGAUGGAUAACAGGUUGAUAUUCCUGUACCACCUAUAAUCGUUUUAAUCGAUGGGGGGACGCAGUAGGAUAGGCGAAGCGUGCGAUUGGAUUGCACGUCUAAGCAGUAAGGCUGAGUAUUAGGCAAAUCCGGUACUCGUUAAGGCUGAGCUGUGAUGGGGAGAAGACAUUGUGUCUUCGAGUCGUUGAUUUCACACUGCCGAGAAAAGCCUCUAGAUAGAAAAUAGGUGCCCGUACCGCAAACCGACACAGGUAGUCAAGAUGAGAAUUCUAAGGUGAGCGAGCGAACUCUCGUUAAGGAACUCGGCAAAAUGACCCCGUAACUUCGGGAGAAGGGGUGCUCUUUAGGGUUAACGCCCAGAAGAGCCGCAGUGAAUAGGCCCAAGCGACUGUUUAUCAAAAACACAGGUCUCUGCUAAACCGUAAGGUGAUGUAUAGGGGCUGACGCCUGCCCGGUGCUGGAAGGUUAAGAGGAGUGGUUAGCUUCUGCGAAGCUACGAAUCGAAGCCCCAGUAAACGGCGGCCGUAACUAUAACGGUCCUAAGGUAGCGAAAUUCCUUGUCGGGUAAGUUCCGACCCGCACGAAAGGCGUAACGAUUUGGGCACUGUCUCAACGAGAGACUCGGUGAAAUCAUAGUACCUGUGAAGAUGCAGGUUACCCGCGACAGGACGGAAAGACCCCGUGGAGCUUUACUGUAGCCUGAUAUUGAAAUUCGGCACAGCUUGUACAGGAUAGGUAGGAGCCUUUGAAACGUGAGCGCUAGCUUACGUGGAGGCGCUGGUGGGAUACUACCCUAGCUGUGUUGGCUUUCUAACCCGCACCACUUAUCGUGGUGGGAGACAGUGUCAGGCGGGCAGUUUGACUGGGGCGGUCGCCUCCUAAAAGGUAACGGAGGCGCUCAAAGGUUCCCUCAGAAUGGUUGGAAAUCAUUCAUAGAGUGUAAAGGCAUAAGGGAGCUUGACUGCGAGACCUACAAGUCGAGCAGGGUCGAAAGACGGACUUAGUGAUCCGGUGGUUCCGCAUGGAAGGGCCAUCGCUCAACGGAUAAAAGCUACCCCGGGGAUAACAGGCUUAUCUCCCCCAAGAGUUCACAUCGACGGGGAGGUUUGGCACCUCGAUGUCGGCUCAUCGCAUCCUGGGGCUGUAGUCGGUCCCAAGGGUUGGGCUGUUCGCCCAUUAAAGCGGUACGCGAGCUGGGUUCAGAACGUCGUGAGACAGUUCGGUCCCUAUCCGUCGUGGGCGUAGGAAAUUUGAGAGGAGCUGUCCUUAGUACGAGAGGACCGGGAUGGACAUACCUCUGGUGUACCAGUUGUCGUGCCAACGGCAUAGCUGGGUAGCUAUGUGUGGACGGGAUAAGUGCUGAAAGCAUCUAAGCAUGAAGCCCCCCUCAA